rnacentral:rRNA from 1 species
UGAUCCCAUCCCGAACUCAGAAGUGAAACAAGCCUGCGCCGAUGGUAGUGUGGCACUUGCCCAUGUGAGAGUAGGUCAUCGUCAGAC